GACGAACGCUGGCGGCGUGCUUAACACAUGCAAGUCGAACGAUGAACCCGGAGCUUGCUCCGGCGGAUUAGUGGCGAACGGGUGAGUAACACGUGAGUAACCUGCCCUUGACUCUGGGAUAACUGCGGGAAACUGUAGCUAAUACCGGAUACGACCCUCGGCGGCAUCGCCAGGGGGUGGAAGGAAUUUCGGUCAAGGAUGGACUCGCGGCCUAUCAGCUAGUUGGUGAGGUAACGGCUCACCAAGGCGACGACGGGUAGCCGGCCUGAGAGGGUGACCGGCCACACUGGGACUGAGACACGGCCCAGACUCCUACGGGAGGCAGCAGUGGGGAAUAUUGCACAAUGGGCGCAAGCCUGAUGCAGCAACGCCGCGUGAGGGAUGACGGCCUUCGGGUUGUAAACCUCUUUUAGUAGGGAAGAAGCGAAAGUGACGGUACCUGCAGAAAAAGCACCGGCUAACUACGUGCCAGCCGCAGUAAAAC
rnacentral:rRNA from 1 species